UUCCGGUUGAUCCUGCCGGACCUGACUGCUAUCGGAUUGAUACUAAGCCAUGCGAGUCAUUGUAGCAAUACAAGGCAGACGGCUCAGUAACGCGUAGUCAACCUACCCUAUGGACGGGAAUAACCUCGGGAAACUGAGUAUAAUGCCCGAUAGAACACUAUACCUGGAAUGGUUUGUGUUCCAAAUGAUUUAUUGCCAUAGGAUGGGACUGCGGCCUAUCAGUUUGUUGGUGAGGUAAUGGCCCACCAAGACUAUUACAGGUACGGGCUCUGAGAGGAGUGGCCCGGAGAUGGGUACUGAGACACGGACCCAGGCCCUAUGGGGCGCAGCAGGCGAGAAAACUUUGCAAUGUGCGAAAGCACGACAAGGUUAAUCCGAGUGGUUUCUGCUAAAGGAACCUUUUGACAGUCCUAGAAACACUGUUGAAUAAGGGGUGGGCAAGUUCUGGUGUCAGCCGCCGCGGUAAAACCAGCACCUCAAGUGGUCAGGAUGAUUAUUGGGCCUAAAGCAUCCGUAGCCGGCUCUGUAAGUUUUCGGUUAAAUCUGUACGCUCAACGUACAGGCUGCUGGGAAUACUGCAGAGCUAGGGAGUGGGAGAGGUAGACGGUACUCGGUAGGAAGUGGUAAAAUGCUUUGAUCUAUCGAUGACCACCUGUGGCGAAGGCGGUCUACCAGAACACGUCCGACGGUGAGGGAUGAAAGCUGGGGGAGCAAACCGGAUUAGAUACCCGGGUAGUCCCAGCUGUAAACUAUGCAAACUCAAUGAUGCAUUGACUUAUGGUCAACGCAGUGUUGCAGGGAAGCCGUUAAGUUUGCCGCCUGGGAAGUACGUACGCAAGUAUGAAACUUAAAGGAAUUGGCGGGGGAGCACCACAAGGGGUGAAGCCUGCGGUUCAAUUGGAUUCAACGCCGGG
rnacentral:rRNA from 1 species